GGGAAGGUAGCUCAGUGGUAGAGUGCUUGUCUUGCAUGCAUGAGGCCCUGGGUUCAAUUCCUCAGCACCA
rfam:Dipodomys ordii contig_9577, whole genome shotgun sequence.